rnacentral:rRNA from 1 species
UACGUAGGGCGCAAGCGUUGUCCGGAAUUAUUGGGCGUAAAGAGCUCGUAGGCGGUCUGUUACGUCCGCUGUGAAAACCCAGGGCUUAACCCUGGGCUUGCAGUGGAUACGGGUAGACUAGAGGCAGGUAGGGGAGAAUGGAAUUCCCGGUGUAGCGGUGAAAUGCGCAGAUAUCGGGAGGAACACCGGUGGCGAAGGCGGUUCUCUGGGCAUUACCUGACGCUGAGGAGCGAAAGCAUGGGGAGCAAACAGG